GGGAAUGCAUGGGUGCCAGGUGGUCUCCGGGGUCUUCAAAACCGUUGUGCCCCGACAAUUUGGGGGCAGGCGGGUUCGAUUCUCACACGUUUUCG
rnacentral:tRNA from 1 species